rnacentral:rRNA from 1 species
GACGAACCGAGCGAACGUUGUUCGGAAUCACUGGGCUUAAAGGGCGCGUAGGCGGGUGAUCAAGUCCGUGGUGAAAUCCUCCAGCUCAACUGGAGAACUGCCUCGGAUACUGGUCGUCUUGAGGAAGGUAGGGGUAUGCGGAACUAUCGGUGGAGCGGUGAAAUGCGUUGAUAUCGAUAGGAACUCCGGUGGCGAAGGCGGCAUACUGGACCUUUUCUGACGCUGAGGCGCGAAAGCCAGGGGAGCAAACGGG